rnacentral:rRNA from 1 species
GACGAACGCUGGCGGCGUGCCUAAUACAUGCCAGUCGAGCGAACGGACGAGAAGCUUGCUUCUCUGAUGUUAGCGGCGGACGGGUGAGUAACACGUGGAUAACCUACCUAUAAGACUGGGAUAACUUCGGGAAACCGUAGCUAAUACCGGAUAAUAUUUUGAACCGCAUGGUUCAAAAGUGAAAGACGGUCUUGCUGUCACUUAUAGAUGGAUCCGCGCUGCAUUAGCUAGUUGGUAAGGUAACGGCUUACCAAGGCAACGAUGCAUAGCCGACCUGAGAGGGUGAUCGGCCACACUGGAACUGAGACACGGUCCAGACUCCUACGGGAGGCAGCAGUAGGGAAUCUUCCGCAAUGGGCGAAAGCCUGACGGAGCAACGCCGCGUGAGUGAUGAAGGUCUUCGGAUCGUAAAACUCUGUUAUUAGGGAAGAACAUAUGUGUAAGUAACUGUGCACAUCUUGACGGUACCUAAUCAGAAAGCCACGGCUAACUACGUG